UCUACAAUCUUUACACAAUAUCUGUAAUUACUUCUAAAUGCAAUGACACCGGUUUGAUGCUUUUAAAAGCUUCAAAGUGAUGUAAGGUAUAUAUUUUUUGGGUGGUUCUCUUGCUGUAUAAUACAGCUUUGUGGUGUAGAGGCAGGCUCUCAUAUACAACACCAGCACGUUUCAGUCGAUCUGCGGCAGCCUCCAGCAUCAUCAGCAUCAUCAUCAGGUGGAGAUCGAGGGGGCUUUUUGGAACUCAGCUGGUGCACGGAGAAGACACACACACACACGAGCCCAUUCGUAAUAGUGGAAGCUGUUCAGUAAGGAAGCAGCUACCGGUGUUCCAGUCCAGACGUGCUUCUCACUCGGACUCGGAUUCGGACUCGGACAUGACAGCCGGGUGGUUAACGCAGCAUCCCCGGUUGGAGGAGUAAAUGGGACCUCACGUCGUCCGAGCGUUAGAAAGAUGGAGCGAUUUAUUCUGCUCGUUGUCAGCUGUUUUGGCGUCUCACAAGUCUCCGCGGAUAGCUUGUCCCCUCCUGUCAAUGUUACCAUCAAAGCGGUGAAAGCCAACUCUGCUGUGGUGACAUGGGACAUCCCAGACGGAGAUCCUGUCAUUGGCUUUGCCAUAACACAGCAGAAAAAAGACGUGCGUAUGCUACGAUUCAUCCAGGAAGUCAACACCACCACCCGCUCCUGUGCAUUAUGGGACUUAGAGGAAGAGACAGACUACAUCGUCCAUGUCCAGUCCAUCAGCAUGUUUGGGACGAGCCCACAAAGCGAGCCAUUACGCUUCCGAACGCCAAAGGAGGCCGAGACUCAGGGUUCUAAGAAUAAAGACGAAGUAACGAUGGAGGAAGUAGGUCAGACCAAUCAGCUGAGAGCGGGGGAGCUCAUCAUAAUCGUUGUGGUGCUCAUCAUGUGGGCAGGUGUGAUCGCUCUCUUCUGUCGUCAGUAUGACAUCAUCAAAGACAACGAACCCAACAACAACAAGGACAAAGCCAAAAACUCCUCGGAGUGCAGCACUCCUGAACACCCGACAGGGGGGCUGUUGCGCAGUAAGGUAUAAUCCACCAACCCCCUCUUCCCCCGAGGUGCCUCCCCCCUCCCUCAACGGCGCCGGGCAGUUCCCCAAGAACAAUAGGAUGCCAUCUGUCAACAUCAUCGAAGUGUGACUGUCUUCCCCAUAUGCUGAAGACGUUGUGUUCUGGCAAAUAAGCAAGUCCUGUUAAGCAAAUCUGCUUGUCAAGAAUGUGCCGCGUACGUCUCCUUUGCGGUGGGCCUGCCAGUGGAGCAAAGUUUGCAGGCACACUGGGAAUCAGGAAUGACUUGGCCAGUACCAUUCUGAUAGGAGAUCCCAAAGUGGAGAGGAUUGAACGGAACCACGAGGGCGGCAGAAAUGAGUGCCAAAUGGUCCUGGCGGUGUGACGGACUGCUGAUAAACCAACCCCAGGGACCAAAGUCGAUAAGGAGAGCCAGAGACCUUUUCAUCCACUCCCUUGUCUGGCUCCAGUCUUUUAGUGGGCAGUGAUUGGCUUGCACAUUUGUGGGUGGCACCCACAGUUUGUAAGUAUUCCUCUGUGGUGUGAUUUUAAUCUCAUCCUCUAGAUGUUGUUUUGUCCGAACAUGCUCUAAAUCAAAGUUUCUUACGAGUGAAGGUGAACUGUAGUUUUGUUACAGAAGGUACUGCCAGUACAUUUCUGUUGCUCUGGUACUUUUUACACCCCCACCGAGGCAGAGAAUUCUGUCGUCCUGUGGGAAAUAUUUUCAGGCUGGUGAGCUUGUUUCCCCCCUCAGGGAAUCCAGACUCCACCUGUUAAAUUUAGAAGCGAUUUCUAAAAAUGAGCCAUAGCAGCUCAGUUUGGUGUCCGAUUGGCUGGCAUUUGCUUUUUUAGCAUCACCACUUUGACUCUCUUUCAUGGUUGUAAAAUAUUCUAUUCCUUACAUUCCACAUCCAGAAUGAGCUGUCUUUUAUUUCUCUCUGAGGGUGAUGGAUUUCUCAGCAUUCUGGGUAAAACAAAAAGGACUUGACCCAGAGUGCCUCAUCUUAAAAAAAAUAAUAUAUAUUUUAAAAAGGGAUUUUGGAUGUGUCUACAGAGAAGUGGCCUUUGUAGCAACAUUAGCGGAGAUUCCUUAAGCAAUAACAGCCCUGACACGAGGACUUCAUGUGCAACGAGGUCACAUUCUGUAGAGAAACAACACACAAACAUAACCUCUCGGCAUCCAAUGUUAUAUGAUGUGCCUCAUUUUCAGACAUUUGAUUUCGUGUAAAUUGUAUGGGUUCAGCUUUGAGGUUUUCUUAUCAACAGAUGUCUUCAAGGCAGAAGGGCUUCUGACGAGUAUUUUUUAAUUCAAAGUCAGUAUUUAUCCAUGUAGGUUAGAUAUAGUGCAUAAUUUUUAAUUUGGAUUAUAAAUUGAGUAGAAACUCAGUAUCAGUAUUAUCUGUACAUUGUAUGGACCCAUACAUGGCCAGUAUCCUCUGUAGUAUGUAUAGGAGCUAUUUUUUAUAUUUGGGGGGGGUCACAUGUCAUACAUUGCCCCAUACUUUGGACAGCCACUUAGUAUAUUGGCUGUUAUGUUAAAAAUGCUAUUGUAUGAUGUAUUAUCCCCCAAAUACUAAUUGAUUUCUUCUGAUUAUGCAUUCUAAGUGUGCUAUGAAUCCUCUUAACAACACAACACUCAAAUAUUAAGUAAAAAAAAUGUGAAAAUUAAUCAUGAAAUCCAUCAAUCCAAGUACCCGAGGGCUAAUCCCAAUGCCCUGCCUUAAAAAAAUCACCUUUAUUUAUUGAUAAUAUGGAUAUAUGUGCUCUAUGUCACAUUUAUAGCUGUUAUCAUGAUACUUUUCAUUAAAUAAUGGAAUGACUUUGUACAGUAACUAGAGAAAUUGACAUGCAGCUGCAAAUUCAGGCUGGGUAAUAUUUAGAUAUUUAAUAUGUAAAUACAUUAUGAAGUAUGACUACAGUAUUGUGCAAAAAUAUUUGGCCAUCGUUAGAUUAUUCUGUUUUUAAGUUUGGAAUUGCUCACCUAUUCUACUAUGUAUUUUCAAAAUUAAAAAAAAUUUAUUGGCCUAAAACUUUUACUUUUACUUUUUAGUACUGUAAAUAAGUAACCUUAGAGGGUGCUAUUCCAGUAUUUUGUGUCAUUAACUGUUCAUGCCCUACUAAUAAGUAUUGUUUCAAAAGCACUUAUCGACUGUAAUGUGUUUAUGUUAUAUUUUGUCAUUGUGUUGUUAAUGUGAAAUACGAAAAAAACUAUCUAAAGUUGAUCCAAAUAUGUUAUAUGAACCAUGUAGCUUAUUUCAGUAGAGACUCAGUAUGUCACAGACAGGAAUAUCUGUGCAUGCAACAAUUACUAAAUAAAAGGUUCCCAGCUAAGGAGUGUGGUAAACAAGUGGGUAAAGCUAAUGGGAUAUCACCAAAUUGUUACCAAACAACCUUCUCAGCCCUUAACUCAAACCUUUUACUAAUUUAGUCAUAGAUUGGAAAGCGACUUAGGCGGUCCCUGCAGGGUUUGUCAGUGUUAUUUUACGCUGCAGGAGAAGAAGAACUUGAAUAGAGUUACUGUUGUCAACUGUGGUGGGAACCUUUUGUUAGCUCCUCUUCUAUUCUUCAUAUGAGUGGCAAGAUUAGUACUGUACUCCAACAAGCACUGACUCAUAGAGACAGCAGUUGCCGUGGAGAACACAGAGUGUGGAAUGCUGCAUCCAUUUUUCUCCAGUCUAAUCAAUUCAAUCUGUCAAUAAGCAUUCAUCGGGAUCGGAUGGAUUCAAGUUAGUGUUAUUUGGACUAUUUGUAGUUUUUUAAUAAUCUUCAAUUCAUAUGCAUUUAUUUUGCACUUUUCUUUACUUUUAGAUUUUGACAAAAAAGUUAAGUAUAAAGUAUUAAUUCUCUCUCAAAAUACACGAAUACCCACUAUUCUAUAUGUAUACUUAACGGAAUUGUCUCAUAAAAUCAGGGGUAAAAAUGUCAAAAUAUUUUAAAAAACUAUGACAAUUUUGAAUUUUUUCCAUGAAAUCUUAUACAGUUGUCCCUUGCCACUUUGCAGUUAGAAUUUAGCAACUUUUCUCAACCACGGUUUUCAUAUUCAUGCUGUUUCAUGCGCGAGCACAGUCUAUUAUGAUUCAAAAUAUGCAUUUUUAAGAUAAUGUCAGAUAUAAAUUAAGCAUUUUCAAGCAAAAUCAUGUCUAAAUGAACUAAAAUAUAAAUAUAUGUCAUUCAAAAGACACAUUCAAAGAUAUUGACGUAGUAUUCUACACUCAUACAAUCAUCAGACUUGAUUGCCCGAACAACAGGCUUGAAUUGCAGGUUCGAAUGAUCUUACAUAGUAGAAUAAUAAUAAUCCCCAACAAAUAUGUAAUAAAAUCACAGGCUACUGUUGCAGCCGUAACCCACAGCAAGAUAAAACUCAACUGUAAAACCCUAACGUCCCUUCCUAUUUGCCACUCGAAACACACAGGAACACACUUCCUGUCCACACGUCCAGACGAUAUAAUUGAAAUGCAAAUGAGCACAAGUCUUAUUUACGUCUUAAAUGUCUUAUUUACUCUGAUUAUGUCUACUACAUUGGGUGAAGGUGACUAUAGGGGUGUUACUUCAUGUCUAUAGGGCCCUAAUAAUGUUAAAAAUUUUAUUUAAAAGGACUUUUUUGUGUUAUAAUUCUGAAAAUAAUCCAUUCAAAGAGAAGGAAUGCUACUUGAGGGAUUACUGUACGUAUAUUGAUUGACAUGUUUCGUCUUCUGCCACUUAAUCAUUCAACAAAUUAAAAAGCAAACUUGGCCAGUAAUUGGCCAAUAAUUUUGGUGCGAACUGUAGCUUCAUUUAUCGACACAGUGCAGGGUGGCGUUACAAACCACACAUUUAUAUGAAGGUGCCACAAGUCUGGUGUCGUGAUGUGUCAACAUUUGUUUAUGGACACUGCUAAAGAAAACAAAUGGCUCAGUUAUAUUCAAUCUGUGUGAAGAUCUUUGAGUGGUGUAUUUGGCGAGAGCAGGGUACACACUGUAUAUUAACACCGGUUAACCGCAGCUCUAUAUAAAUAUUUUCCUAAAUCAGAUUAAAUAAUGAUGUGUACUUGCAGAACUCAAUAACUAUCUAUUUAAUUAACGUCCUCCAGUCAGGUGGAAGUUCUUCUUAAGAUGCUGGGACUUGCUUUGAAUGCAAAAGGCUCACCGUGGUUUAUCAUGCUUCUUGCUCUAAAUGAGUUCAUGGAACAUUAUUUUCUGUGGAUCCGAGACAGGUUCAGUUGUGAAAUACGGUUGGACAAGAACGCAUGGUUAAGAAAAAAAAAAAAGACUGCUUUAUUAGUGCUAACAUGUUUAUAUUGAUUGUAUGCAGUGUACAGCAGUUAUUGCUUAAUGAGGGCUAGCAUGGGUUCAUUAACUAUUAUGCACAAGGUUACACAGCUUCACUUUUGAAGUAUAUGGUGUAUGCUUACUUGUGUUUGCUUCAAAUAAAAAAAAUAUUUUC